rnacentral:rRNA from 1 species
UACAGAGGGUGCGAGCGUUGUCCGGAAUCAUUGGGCGUAAAGCGCGCGUAGGCGGCCCGAUAAGUCCGCUGUAAAAGUCAACGGCUCAACUGUUGAAAGCCGGUGGAUACUGUCGGGCUAGAGUACGGAAGAGGCAAGUGGAAUUCCUGGUGUAGCGGUGGAAUGCGCAGAUAUCAGGAGGAACACCCAUAGCGAAGGCAGCUUGCUGGGACGUUACUGACGCUAAGGCGCGAAAGCGUGGGGAGCGAACAGG